rnacentral:rRNA from 1 species
UACGUAGGGUGCGAGCGUUAAUCGGAAUUACUGGGCGUAAAGCGUGCGCAGGCGGUUCGUUGUGUCGGUGGUGAAAUCCCCAGGCUUAACCUGGGAACUGCAUCCGAUACUGGAUGGCUUGAAUCCGGGAGAGGGAUGCAGAAUUCCAGGUGUAGCGGUGAAAUGCGUAGAUAUCUGGAGGAAUACCGGUGGCGAAGGCGGCAUCCUGGACCGGCAUUGACGCUGAUGAGCGAAAGCUAGGGGAGCAAACGGG